UUUACUCCAUGAUUUGGAGGGUUCUACACCAGCAAUCUUUUUCCCUCUUCUUGUUGUCCUUAUUUCAGCCACAAUCUUCACUUUUCUGGUACUCAGUUUCUUAGCUACACUUGGUUUCACAAGAUGGAGCAAGGUGUCAUCUCCUUCCUCAGAACUUUCCUCCUCCAGAUCAAUAACAUUCUCAGCAGUUUCAUGAGACACAUCAGCUGGUUUCUUACUAGGCAAGGUUUUACCUAGAGAAC
rnacentral:lncRNA from 1 species